rnacentral:rRNA from 1 species
UACGUAGGGUCCGAGCGUUGUCCGGAAUUAUUGGGCGUAAAGAGCUCGUAGGCGGUUUGUCGCGUCUGCUGUGAAAACUCGAGGCUCAACCUCGAGACGUCGGUUGAAACCAUCUGGCUAGAGUCCGGAAGAGGAGAGUGGAAUUCCCGGUGUAGCGGUGAAAUGCGCAGAUAUCGGGAAGAACACCCGUGGCGAAGGCGGCUCUCUGGGACGGUACUGACGCUGAGACGCGAAAGCGUGGGGAGCGAACAGG